UGGUAAUCCAGUAUUUGAAGUCAUUCUUAUGAUUAGAGAGGAAAGAUUCUGCUUAUGUAGAAUGUGCAUAGAAGAGGUGUGGAAGUUGUUCUGACACUACUUUGAAAAAGAGCUGUGAGCCACAAACGAGGCAGGGCAGAUGCUCCAUAGAAAUGCUGUUCAUCUGGUGUGUAUUUUAUGGCAGCGUGAAGAAUAAAGUGAGAGGAAAGAACUGCUUCCCCAUGAGUAGGUCAUGCAUCCCAAACUCAGC
rnacentral:lncRNA from 1 species